rnacentral:rRNA from 1 species
GAGUUUGAUCAUGGCUCAGAGCGAACGCUGGCGGCGUGCUUAACACAUGCAAGUCGAGUGCGCGCCUGUAGCAAUACAGGUGGCGCACGGCGCACGGGUGCGUAACACGUGGGUAAUCUGCCCUUCGAUGGGGAAUAACUCCGGGAAACCGAAGCUAAUUCCGCAUAACAUUCCUUGAACCUCGGUUUGGGGAUUCAAAGCCGUAAGGCGUCGGAGGAGGAACCCGCGCACGAUUAGCUAGUUGGUAGGGUAACGGCCUACCAAGGCUUUGAUCGUUAGCUGGUCUGAGAGGAUGGCCAGCCACACUGGAACUGAGACACGGUCCAGACUCCUACGGGAGGCAGCAGUGGGGAAUCUUGCACAAUGGGCGAAAGCCUGAUGCAGCGACGCCGCGUGGGGGAUGAAGCUUCUCGGAGUGUAAACCCCUUUCGACCCGGACGAAUGCCCCGCAAGGGGACUGACGGUACGGGUAUAAGAAGCCCCGGCUAACUACGUGCCAGCAGCCGCGGUAAGACGUGGGGGGCCAGCGUUGCUCGGAAUUACUGGGUGUAAAGGGUUCGUAGGCGGUGUGGCAAGUCGGGAGUGAAAUCUCUGGGCUUAACUCAGAGACUGCUUCCGAAACUGCUGUGCUUGAGUGUGGGAGAGGCGCGUGGAAUUGCAGGUGUAGCGGUGAAAUGCGUAGAUAUCUGCAGGAACACCCGUGGCGAAAGCGGCGCGCUGGACCACUACUGACGCUGAGGAACGAAAGCUAGGGAGCAAACGGAUUAGAUACCCUGGUAGUCCUAGCCCUAACGAUCAGGACUUGGGGUGCCGCACGUUCGUGCGUCGUCCCGGAGCUAACGCGUUAAGUCCUGCACUGGGGAGUACGUCCGCAGACUGAACUCAAAGGAAUUGACGGGGCCCGCACCAGCGGUUGGACACAUGGUGAUCA